GUUCCAACAGCAUCCCAAUAACAUUGGCUUCUCAGGGACAGAGUGAGGUCACAAAGGCGAGUGUGAUGCCCCCAGACCCUGACUGGUUUCUGAGGACAGCAGCACUCCAGGAAGGAAUAUGGACUCUUUGUGGUUAAAGAAAAAGGUCUAGGGGAGGCCUGGUAAACAGAGUCCACACAGGAGUUGGAAGCCCUGAGAUGCAUCUGGUCCAGCUUCCUCAGUGCUUGCCUAGUGUCUGCUGAAAACAAACUGCGGCCCUCCCUGGAGGUUCAACUGCGGUUCUGCGGAGGGAGAGGUGCCUUUAAAAACUUCCCAUUAACUGGUUAUCAUGGAAUGGAAGACAAGAUGGAUUUUUUCCAACUCUGAGAGGAAUCCAGAGUUCCCCAUGGUAUAGAAGUUGAGAGCUUAGACUCUGGAACCAGACUGUUUUGUCUCUACCUCUUA